UUCUCUGCCUUUCCUUUGGUCCCAGAGCAGAAUGAGCCCAGCACCACAAACAGCUGAGCACCAGAGAAGAAGCCGUAAUGUCUAACCUGUGUGUCAGGCUGCUGAGGGAGGACUGGCUGUGCUGCCUAGAGUGAUGUCUCGCAACACGUCUGUCUGUCCUACAGCAGUGUGUACCAGAGGGAACGGCGGCUGCUGCCUGUCUGCUCAGCUGAGUGCCCAACGCUGACCUCCAGCCUUAGGUCCCACAGCACUGCUGGUUUUCUUGGAGCCUGGAGAAAUCUGCCAGAAGCAGAAGGAGCUCUCACCUUAUUGUUUUUCUAUGGUUUGUCCUGUGUCACAGUCAGGCUUUCUGGCUGUCCCUGCUGGCCCAGUAAAUGGGAUUUCUUUACCUCUUGUUCUCAAACAGAGGAUACAAAGUGUAACUGGGAUCUGUGCUUUAUCAGUGUAUAGAAAAUAAGUUGAUUGGAGUCAAACCAGUCAGCAGACACCCACCUCGGCUGUUGCUAUACGAAUAAGGUAUCCAUGGAGAUCAAGAGGCUAAAUCUAAGAGACAUAAAGAUCUGGCCCUUGCCUGUUAGGGAUCCAGCUGUAUGUACAGAUUUGCCUAUCCUCUCCAUCUUCACAGCAGCAGCCCCAGAGGGCAGGGGAGAGGAGAUCCCUCAUAGGAGAGGAGAUGCUGUGAAGAGGCAGCGAGGCACUGCCUGUUCCCUGCUGGGUUCUGAGAACAGGUGCUGCUCAUCCAACCCAGGUAGCUGAGUUUUAAAGCAGGUUAAACCCAAAGAUCACAGGAAAUGAGGAAAGGAGAAAGGAAUGGUUUGGGGGCAGAGCCAUUACCAAAUCUCUGUAAAAUGUUUUUUCCACUCUUUCUGCUAUUAAAGUCAUUUUUUUCUUUAACACUCAAACUGAUUCUGCUUUUGCAGGCUUAGAUUUGAUUUAAAGUGCUGUUGGCUCGGUUGUGGAUUAGCUGGUUCAGACAAGCCUGCAGGCGGAUCCCAUUAGCACCUGCUCUUCCCGUAUCUUUGUGAAGCCUUGCUGGGACCUGCAGGGAUGCAGCUGGAAGGGCAGCAGAUCCAGCAGUGCAAACACCCACACAGGGCCUGAUCCACGCUCCCACGCAUGUGAAGACCAAAGAGUACAAACAACCAGGCAGUGCAAUGCUAUAUGUAUCCAUUUGUCUCUUUUUCUAGGAUAUUUACAACUUCUUCUUCCCUUACAUUUAGCAAAUAGAUGGACAUGUUACCCGCUUGAUAAUUUUUCUGGAAGGUCUUUGUCUCGUUACUAAAAAUUUUCUUUCUGUGAAAGCUGUUAAUAAGUCACAUCCAGCCUGGAAAAACACUGUGAGGGACAUUAUCUUUAUAGCUGUGCUUUGUGGGGCUUAGACCCUGCUUGCCAGUCUGCUCAAUGUUCUCCCUUUAACUAUUAGGUCUCAGUAAGCUUGUAUUAAUUUUGCUUUUCUCCAGUUUUAAUGUAUGUGCUUAAGAGACUGGCUGGUUGGCUGGCCGGGGGGAGGUUUUAGAUGUCAGGGGGAGAGUUCUUCAUUGAGAGAGCAGUGAGGUGCUGGCACAGGCUGCCUAGAGAGGCUGUGGAUGCCCCAUUCCAGGAGGUGUUCAAGACCGGGUUGGAUGGAGCCCUGGGCAGCCUGGUUUAGUACCAGAUCUGGAGGUAGGUGGCCCUGCCUGUGGCAGGGGGGUUGGAACUUGAUCCUUGGGGUCCCUUCCAACCCAAGCCAUUCUAUGAUUGGCAUGAUUCUGACCAAAGUCCAUUUAUCUGCCUUGAUUUUGCUGACUAUCCUGCCUGUUAAUUCUAAUCAAGAUCUUCCAUAUCCAUAUUUUUCUCUUCCAGAGAAUUACUUGCUCCAGUGUUUUGAUACGCCGUUACUGGAUUACAGUACUGGAGAACCAGGUUUGCAGGGAGAUGUGCUCUGGUAACUGACUACAGCUGGAGUCAGGGACUGUGCUCAGCAUUUGCAGAAUUAAUGUAAUUUCAGCACUGAAAGUUGGCAGAAAAGGAAUUAAAGAAAAGUAGAAUCCGACUCCUCUAGCUGGAUAGAAACUUCAUGAUACCUCCUUCAGAAAUAAGGAGCAGAAGGAAAACAUCCAAGCAGAAGAAUCAGAAGGCAAAGAAAAGGGAAUGGAUGGGGAUUGCAACUGAAAAAUUAAUGAGGAGAGACCUCAUUUCACAAAGCUUAUAUAAAGUCAGACUGCAUCUGUGCAAGGAACAGUGACCCAGAAAGAGAAAUCUGUAAAAAUUCAGGGCAAGGUGCAAAACUUGGUAUCCUCCUUCCCUCCGAGACACACCUACACUCACACACAAGGAUCCUUUGCUCCAGGCCACUGCAAACACCUUUGUGACGUCCCUCCAUCCCUGCAGCAGGCUCUGGGUGCAGCAGCAGGAUGCGGUGCUCACAGAGCUUCUGCAUGAGGUGAAGUACUGCUGCUCCCCAUCCUGCUGCCUGGAGAGAAUUCCCUUCCAGGAGAGUCUGGGGUUGUUCCCAAGUGAACUGCUAAAAUCUGUUUGUGGUAUGUCAGAACAGCAGAAGUCUGGAGAAGGUCACAUAACUGAAAAGCAAACCGAAUAAUGGCACUUAGAGCUAAAAAGAAUGAGUAAUAUGUCUCAUUACUUUACAGUGAAAAUGCACAAUUAAUGGCAUAAUCUUACAUAACCAGAUCCAGAAAAAAAUGACCUUUUGCACCUUGCACGACAGGGCUGGGAUUCUCAACCCAAAAGCCUGCUCCCUCAGUGCCUGACAAAGAGAGUUCUUCAGAUCUCCCUGGAGGAGAGGGACAUUUCCAGCUGUGCCACAUCAGCACGCAAGAUUGAACUGCACCUUGUCUGCUUGCCUGUUGCCUUGAGCAGAAGCUCAAGGGGAAUUAUUUAAAAUGAAGACUGCUUUCUAUAUUAAGCACAUCUCAGGUAAUACCGAGCAGCUCACUCUCUACUAUUAAUGGGUCUCCAGGUAUUAGCAGAGCACUUCCCUCUCCUAUUAAUUUCUCCUGUCAAUCUUUGCCUCACAGUUCAAAAAAAGGGAUCGAGGCAUCAUCUGCUAUAGUGUAGCACAGGCUUCUCCUCUGAGCAGCAUUGCCUGGUAGCAGCCAGCCUAAUGUGAUUGUUUCCAAACCAGAAAGGACAGCUGUCACUUGCCUCUCCAAAACGUACUCACAGGGUAUAAUCAAGAAAUCUUCUCGAAGAAGUUGUUCAAAGCUAUGCUUAUCAAAUGACUGUUAAGACAAUAAACUAGUUAAUUUGCUCUAAUGGACAGUUGCAGUGUGAGUAUUUAGUGUCUCGUUAAUAUUGACUGGCAAUACUUAAAAGAAUCCGAAUGUUAGCUGCUAGAGUGGCAGAACAUAAAGCACUGAUGAUAAAUAUUUCUACUUCUACAAGCAGUUCAUUCCAGUUUAGUUAACAACUGAAAUUAAAAGUGUUUAAAACUCACACUUUGUGAAUCUGUUCAGCUUUCCCUUUCAGAUGCUCAUUGUUAGCUCUGACAAGGUGCCACCAUACCAUGGUAGGGAUUUCUACUGAAACAACUCACCUGGAUCCUCCCUACAUUUCACACCAACUCGUUCUACUCCUUCCUGUCUCCCCUACUUUAGCCAAUAUGAUGAUAUAAAGCCGGUUUGUGCAAGGUAAGGCUGAGGAUGAUUUUUCCACUUACAAACUGGAAGCGCAAUGCUGGGAACUGCAUUCUGCAAGACAUUCUCUGCCAGCAUCCUGAGCAACCAAAGAACCCCAAAGCAACACGUUUGUUUUCCAAAACAAGGGUUUCCCAGUGGCAGACCCACAUGGGGGUAGUGGGACAACCUCUGCAUUGUUAUUUGUGUGUUUUGCUUUUGUUUUGCUUUUGUUGAGUACUGUUUAACAUGAACUACAUAGAGAGGUUACUGAACGCCAUCUCAUGUUCUGUGCAGUCUCAUGAACCAGGGGAAGGGCUGUUUGUCCUUUCUUAAGCCCUGAAGCAGAGGGCAGAGACUAUUUUGCCAUCUGUUUCACAGUUAGGUCUGGAAAAAUAUAUAUUGUUCCAUAACUUGUUUAUUGUUCCAUAACUUGUACUGCUGGCUCCUGCAGCAUUCCAAUCUGGGGAACUCUGCUCUGGGGAAAGAGCAUCACUAGGGACUGGCUUAGAGAAGCCUGUGCAGAUAGGCAAUACCUCCUUAACCUUGGGAUAGUGAUUAAAACAUUCUUUGAGUCUGCUGUGAGUCAGGUAACAAAACAAAAGGGCUCAAAAGGUCUGGGGAGGGACAUAAGCAAAUAACAAAACCUAGUAAGACCUUACUGUUGUGGCAGGCAGUUUCCAUAUAUUAAACUUAAGUCUUGCUGAAGUUUUUUUAAAACCACUUAUGUACAGUUUCUUUUCACAGAAAUACAGGGGAAUUAUUCUCUUUCCUCUUCCUGAAUAUCUGAUUAUUUAGCAGAGUUGAAUUAUUACUGGCUUAACAAAGAACCAUGUGCAAUAAUAGCACUACUUUUGUAGUAAAUUCUAUGUUUUGCCUUUUGUGAGCUGAAAGAAUCUUUUUGACGCUGACAGGCAAUUGAUUAGAGCUGGGUAAAUAGUAUUAAGCAGACAAAAUAUUUCUUAAAUCUUAGCAUUUAGGGGAUUCAGAAUAAUUUCCUAUCCCUUAUCACCAUUUAAAAGGAUUUUCAUUAUCCACCAAACAGCAUAGAUUAAAAAAAUAAAUUGCAAAACAGUGGUUUGCUGAUAAACCUUUGACACUGACUAUCUGGUUUUUAUCAAACCCAACUAACUUGAGCUUUACCUGCUUUUUCUCUGGUGUCUAUACAUUUCCAGAGAAAUAAAACACUGUUGUAUGUAACAAGCAAAGCAUAUCUAAGAACACAUUACCAACAAAAUGGAUUUCAAACUUUUGAUGUUUGUGGUCACUGUCAUGAAUUUUUAUGAUGAUAGGCAUCAUAGGAAGCAAUAGGUAUUGACAUUUUUACAAUGAAAGAGCAAAAAAUUGAUUCUGAAUCUUUAGUGUAUUGAUAUUUAUGUGAACUUAUUAUUCUAGCAUUUGACUAAACUCUCUAAAUUCCAUUUUGCUUCAGAAUUUUUGUG